GUUCCAGGGGAAUGUCUGUACAAGGGUCAGAGCUACGGGCAAGGCAAGACUUGGCGCGACGGCUGUAACUACCAAUGUACCUGCGUAGAUGCCACCGUGGGCACGUACAUCUGUAAAGACCUUGUAAGCUGCUGGCCCCUCCCACCGGCAAGUGCUGCCCCACACCAAGCUGCCCUAGCGGCAUAGUCAUCAACUACCCGCCAAGCUAUGUUGGCGUUUAACAGGCAAAAACCUGUGUAGCCAGGCAACAAAACAAUUCAGUGAAGUAAAAUACAAACACGUUUGCGAAAAUUGUAAGCAUUCGAAUUAGGAAAAUAAAAUAUUUCUAGUU